rnacentral:rRNA from 1 species
UACGGGGGGGGGCAAGCGUUGUUCGGAAUUACUGGGCGUAAAGGGCUCGUAGGCGGCCAACUAAGUCAUACGUGAAAUCCCUCGGCUUAACCGGGGAACUGCGUCUGAUACUGGAUGGCUUGAGUUCGGGAGAGGGAUGCGGAAUUCCGGUGUAGCGGUGAAAUGCGUAGAUAUCGGAAGGAACAUCAGUGGCGAAAGCGACUUCCUGGACCAGUACCGACGUUCAGGCACGAAAGCGUGGGGAGCAAACAGG